AUUGAACGCUAGCGGGAUGCUUAACACAUGCAAGUCGAACGAGCGGCGGACGGGUGAGUAAUGUAUGGGGACUGCCCGAUAGAGGGGAAUAACUACUGGGAACGGUAGCUAAUACAGCAUACUAUCGAACUACCCAUAUGGGGUUAGCUAGUUGGUGAGGUAAUGGCUCACCUAGGCGACAAUCCCUAGCUGGUCUGAGAGGAUGAUCAGCCACACUGGAACUGAGACACGGCCCAGACUCCUACGGAGGCAGCAGUGGGGAAUAUUGGACAAUGGGCGAAAGCCUGAUGCAGCCAUGCCGCGUGUAUGAAGAAGGCCCUAGGGUUGUAAAGUACUUUCAGUCGGGAGGCGUUACCAACAGAAGAAGCACCGGCUAACUCCGUGCCAGCAGCCGCGGUAAUAC
rnacentral:rRNA from 1 species